AUUGAACGCUGGCGGCAGGCCUAACACAUGCAAGUCGAGCGGAUGAAGGGAGCUUGCUCCUGGAUUCAGCGGCGGACGGGUGAGUAAUGCCUAGGAAUCUGCCUGGUAGAUAGGGAUAACGUCCGUUAACGGGCGCUAAUACCGCAUACGUCCUGAUGUAGAAAGUGGGGGAUCUUCGGACCUCACGCUAUCAGAUGAGCCUAGGUCGGAUUAGCUAGUUGGUGGGGUAAAGGCCUACCAAGGCGACGAUCCGUAACUGGUCUGAGAGGAUGAUCAGUCACACUGGAACUGAGACACGGUCCAGACUCCUACGGGAGGCAGCAGUGGGGAAUCUUGGACAAUGGGCGAAAGCCUGAUCCAGCAAUGCCGCGUGUGUGAAGAAGGUCUUCGGAUUGUAAAGCACUUUAAGUUGGGAGGAAGGGCAGUAAGUUAAUCCCUUGCUGUUUUGACGUUACCAACAGAAUAAGCACCGGCUAACUUCGUG
rnacentral:rRNA from 1 species